rnacentral:lncRNA from 1 species
CCACCUCCCUGUGUGUAAUCUCUAAGUAUCCCCCAUGUCUUCAGAGCUAUAUCCCUCUCAGAUUCAAGUCCAGAGCAAGAGCAUCUGAUAUAGUUUGGAUGUGUGUCCCUGUCCAAAUCUUAUGGUGAAUUGACAUCCCCAAUGUUGGAGCAUCCGGAGAAAUUAUUCUUGAGCUGACAGGUGCAUUAGUCCAAAAAACACUUACCUCAGUGGACCAUAACUAUGCCAGGCUGCAGGACCACCAGCGUCCAUGACAAGUGUGUCCGCAUUACUGCAAGUCUUUUGGUAGUGGUCAGAAAACAACAAUGGAGCAAUACCAUGUGGCAACAAGAGCAACAAUGGCCAAGAUAAUGGAGCUGUUCCACUGACUGCACAGGUUUUCUGGUCCUUUCUCCAUGGCAG